UUGCGCCUGUUUAACAAAAACAUUGCCUCACGAUAAAACCAAUAUGAGGUACCUCCUGCCCAGUGACCCUUAAACGGCCGCGGUAUCCUGACCGUGCAAAGGUAGCAUAAUAAUUUGCCUCUUAAUUAGAGGCUAGAAUGAACGGACAAACGAAAGCUUUAUUGUCUCCUAUAUAUUUCAAGAAAAUUAACCUUCAGGUGAAGAGGCCUGAAUUAAUCUAAAGGACAAAAAGACCCUAUCGAGCUUCACUUAUAAAUUUAUAUCAAUACAAAAUACAACCAAUAAAUAAUAAGUUUAGUUGGGGCGACUAAGGACCACCCAAUUUACUAUCACUCCACAAACGUCCUUCUUAUAAAGACCUAAAAGUCCACCACACGAUCCACGAACCCACUGAUCAACUGAACAAGCUACCGUAGGGAUAACAGACUAAUCCUCCUAAAGAGCCCAAAUCGCCAGGAGGGAUUGGCACCUCGAUGUUGGCUUAGGAAUCUAUUGAGCGCAGCAGCCCAAAAAAGAAG
rnacentral:rRNA from 1 species